rnacentral:rRNA from 1 species
AGAGUUUGAUCAUGGCUCAGGACGAACGCUGGCGGCGUGCCUAACACAUGCAAGUCGAACGGAGUCGGCCCCGCAAGGGACUGACUUAGUGGCGAACGGGUGAGUAACGCGUGAGCAACCUGCCUUUCAGUGGGGGACAACAGUUGGAAACGACUGCUAAUACCGCAUAAUGCAUUUUGACCGCAUGAUCGAGAUGCCAAAGAUUUAUCGCUGAAAGAUGGCCUCGCGUCUGAUUAGCUAGUUGGCGGGGUAACGGCCCACCAAGGCGACGAUCAGUAGCCGGACUGAGAGGUUGACCGGCCACAUUGGGACUGAGAUACGGCCCAGACUCCUACGGGAGGCAGCA